GAGUGUAUAGCUCAGUGGUGGAGUGUAUGCUUAGCAUGCAGGAGGUCCUGGGUUCAAUCCCCAGUACCUCCA
rnacentral:tRNA from 1 species